rnacentral:lncRNA from 12 species
CACGGUUCCACAUCUCUGUGACACGGGGCAGCACACGCUGGUGGCCCUGUGGCCAUCACACCCUGGCUCCUGGGAGUCCCUGGAGCAGCCGGGUGGUCCUGGGGCCAGCAGAGCUCCUGCUGCUCCCAGCACCUGCAGCAGCCAGAGCCUGCUCAGGGCCGGGGCUGAGCCUGGGCACAGCCCUGCCUGGCACUCCUGGGGUUCUGCCCUGCUCUUCCCAGUGCCAGUGGCUGCUCUUCCCUCUCCAUUUCUGUGACACCAUAAAUACCUUCUGUCCCUGGAGGAGCCUGUGACACCCGGUUCACAAGGAAAUGCAUCCCCAUGGGCAUCACCUCAGUGUGGCCUCAAUUCUGUGAAAUUUGAGGCGUGUUGGACUAAAAAGAAAUGCUUCAAAAAGAGUCAAUGAAAUCAGCAGCA